rnacentral:rRNA from 1 species
GACGAACGCUGGCGGCGUGCUUAACACAUGCAAGUCGAACGAUGAACCCGGGGCUUGCUCUGGGGGAUUAGUGGCGAACGGGUGAGUAACACGUGAGUAACCUGCCCUGGACUCUGGGAUAAGCGUUGGAAACGACGUCUAAUACCGGAUAGGACCUUGGAUCGCAUGAUCUGGGGUGGAAAGUUUUUUCGGUCUGGGAUGGACUCGCGGCCUAUCAGCUUGUUGGUGAGGUAAUGGCUCACCAAGGCGUCGACGGGUAGCCGGCCUGAGAGGGUGACCGGCCACACUGAGACUGAGACAGGGACCAGACACAGACGGGAGGAAGCAGACGGGAAUAUAGCAUAUAGGGAGAAAGCAUGAGGCAGCAAUCAAGCGUGCGGGAGGAAGGCCGUCGGGUGGGAAACCGCUGUUAGUAGGGAAGAAGGGCGUCGGCUUGACGGUACCUGAAGAAAAAGGACCGGCUAACUACGUG